GUGUAAUUUUAAAGAAAGAGUGUGAUGCUGGCCAAGAUAUUUUAGUGGUUUGCAAUUAGUUUUGGUACGAAAAUAAUACUAAAACAGAAACAGAAAAUGACCCAAGGCUACACUGUGUUGUUGUUGCAGAGUCAAAAUGCCUUCCGAGAUGGUCGAAAAACAAACGAGAACUGCUCAAGAUGGUAACAGUGGGACUAUUUAUUGAAGUCUAUUUUCUCGUCAAACUUUAAUACCAGAUUGGAAAUUACAGACAUAGUUUUAUAUACCACGUUAUGAUUGUAAAAUCACCAUCCAAUUGGGAUAACAAAUUGGUACCCAAGAUCAACUUGGACUGAUUUGUGACUCCCCUGAGUGACAUCCCCAACCCAACUCUAUACAUAAUGAAUGAUUUUUUCUCUUCUCACUGGUGUGAGAUAUUGGCAAUCUUGCGACAUUGGUCCAAUAGUCAUUACAUCACAAUACAAAAUGAUU